rnacentral:lncRNA from 1 species
CAAAUGAACCAGCAUCCUUUGGUGCUUGGGCAACUUCGCCCUAAGACACUACUUGGUGGAAGCUGACGUACUACUUUGCACCAAGGGAGAGGAAACUUCCUGGAGAUCUUGUAGCAGCUGCCGCAGGGGCUUCUCCAUGUCGAGCAGGGCUGGAAGAUGUGGACUGCCCAGCAACCUCGUUGACCACGGUACGUUCUUUUCGUUUAUUGGGUCACCAGAUAUCCAAGUGACUGCCAUCGUACAAUUUGAGUGGGUUCAAGACAUCACAGUAACUCAGAACAAAGGUAGUUCAACUCCAUCAUGUUUCAUAAGCCAAGACUCUGCAUCUCCUGUCUGUUCUCCCUGUUCUUGUGAUUUUUUUGCAACAAAUUCAACCAAAUUAGAUCGUGAGUUUGAUCCAGAAUAUGGAAGGAAAGCUAAUGUCCCACUACAUUAGCAUGCAUGUUCUGUAAGCUCUAGAUCAUGAUGAUACAUCAACUUUUUCUUUUCUUUUGUUUCUGAACAUUGGUGACUACAUCAUGAACUGUGGUUAUUAAAGAGUCUUAUCUGUACAAGGACUCUCCCAGAUUUUUCUCCAGCAAUAGCAACCGGAAUCUCAACUCUUUCUUUGAUCGAAUGCUUCUUUCCAUAACUAUCAUGCCCGAGACCUGUGUGUGAAUUCCGUCAAGACUUGGGUCUAUGUGUUGUGAAAGCAGCUCGCGAUGGUUGCGCAAUUAGCUCCCAGCUUCUGAGAUGCUCUGAAGCGAAGGACGCCAAUGGCGGCCUCUUGCCGCCACCUGCGUUCUGCUCUUUUGCCGAUCCCUCUCCUGAUUUGUUGCCUGGAACAUGUCAUGGAGUAUUGACUGCAUGAUUCUACCUGAACUCUAUUUGGAUUUUGUAGAGAAAAGACUAUACUUUCUGUUUUAAGCUCGACUCUACUUGUGUGUGUUUUUUGCUCUGUUUUAUGAUUCAGCAUAUGUAGGAAUUGAUUGAAGUAUACUACUUUGGAAUUCAUAUAUCAUGAUCGAUCACAAUAGAUGUGUACCUGAUGUGUGGCAUCUGAAUCCUCCUCUGUUUCCUCUCGAGCAGGAUCUGUACACUGAUCGUUUGUUCCAUGCUGCUGCUGCUGCUGCUGCUGUUGUUGUUGUUUUCUGAUCGAUUCAGCCUGGGUUUUCUUGAGCUUCUCAUACUUCCUUUGCCUCAG